AAGGGCACCACAAGAACGCGUGGAACAUGUGGCUUAAUUUGACUCAACGCGAGAAAUCUUACCGGGUCCGGACACACUGAGGAUUGACAGGCAAUCGUGUAAAGGAGAUUCUUUUACAUAUGUAAAUAAGCUAGUCCUUUCAUGAUUAUGUGAUAGGUGGUGCAUGGCCGUUCUUAGUUCGUGGAGUGAUCUGUCUGCUUAAUUGCGUUUAGCAUGGGAUUUAACACUGAAAAUAAAAAUGUAUACCUCAAUUCUUGUUUUCAUUUAAUAUGUUUAUUUAAAUGUUUGCAAAUACGACUUGUGGUAUGCAUGUUAAAUCUUUAAACCAACGAACGUGACCGCAUCCUUUUGUUGCCUCCUGCUUUUAAUUGGGUAUUUUAAUUUUACUAUUUAUACUUUUAUUUUCAACAAUGGAGGUUUAGAACUAAAGGGACCGCUGUGAUUUUUUAAACCAGAGGAAGGUUGCGGCAAUAACAGGUCUGUGAUGCCCUUAGAUGUCCCGGGCUGCACACGUGUUACAAUGAUUAUUGCAGUGAGCAUCUAAUUUUUUAUACUGUAUCAAUAACAAAUUCUUCUUUUAUAAGUUCUAUUUUUUUUUGGCAGUAAAGGCCUGCUUCGUGAGAACGCAGGUAAUCAAUUGGAAGUAAUGAUUUCUUUUUUAAUUCAAAUAUUUUUGAUUUUGUGUGCACACAAUAUGCUGCUCCCUUCCCAGAUAGUUAGCUUUUUUAGUCUUUCUAUUUUAAGUGUGAUGGGAUGUUUCAGCAUGUGCUUUUUAUUAAUUCAUGGUGGGGACAGACCCUUGUAAAUUAUGGGUCUUGGUCUUAACUAGGAAUGCCUCGUACGGGUCUUGGUUCAACAAACCACCCGGAAUACGUCCCUGCCCUUUGUACACACCGCCCGUC
rnacentral:rRNA from 1 species